rnacentral:rRNA from 1 species
GACGAACGCUGGCGGCGUGCUUAACACAUGCAAGUCGAACGGUGAAGCGCCUUCCUUUUUGGUGGGUGUGGAUGAGUGGCGAACGGGUGAGUAACACGCGAGUAACCUGCCCCCUUCUUCUGGAUAACCGCAUGACAGUGUGGCUAAUACGGGAUAUUCUGGGUCUGUCGCAUGAUGGGUCUGGGAAAGAUAUUGUUUCGGUGGGGGAUGGGAUCGCGGCCUAUCAGCUUGUUGGUGGGGUGAUGGCCUACCAAGGCGGUGACGGGUAGCCGGCCUGAGAGGGUGGAGGAUCCUGCUGGGACGGGGACACGGCCCAGACUCCGACGGGAGGCAGCAGGGGGGAAUAGUGCACGAUGGGCGCAAGCCUGAUGCAGCGACGCCGCGUGAGGGAUGGAGGCCGUCGGGUUGUGAACCUCUUGCGCCAGUGAAGCAGGCCUGCCUCGUUUGUGGGUGGGUUGACGGUAGCUGGAUAAGAAGCGCCGGCUAACUACGUG